rnacentral:lncRNA from 1 species
AUUGCUUUUUAGUCUGCUCAAACAGAUAAAUAGAAAUGAGCCCCAGACAGAGGCCUGGUUCAGCAUUUAAGAUCUUUGGGAUCUGUGCUUCUGUAAUGUUGCCUACUUGGUUUACAGCAGGGCCAGAUCACUGCUACUAGGAGUUACUCCUGUCAUGUGGUAUUGCUUCGUCACUUGCUUCUUUAAUUCCCUCAGUGAGGUUUUGAUACUGAGAUGGUUGUUUUUGGUAUCAAAAUAAUCCUUUUAGUUAUGACUAGCAGACCCAUCUCAGGUAUGGAUAUCUUCUUCCUUCAGUCCCUGGGCUUCUCAGAAUCUGUGACAGCAUUGGUCAGCUCUGUUGAUAUCUGUUUGAAAAGUUGCAGCUUCCCAUCUAUCUGUGCAGCAUAGUACACACAUAACUGCGUUAUAGUAACUCAGUGACCUGUUCAGGUUUAGUCCCUGGUCCAAGAUCUUAUUUGACGUGCUUGAUGCCUCUUUUGGGGCUGUACUGGGAAUUGCUACUUAAUUUCUUUCCAAUUGAAUGUGGCUUUCUCAGCUGAGAUGGUUUCAGCCAGAGGAUGAAUCAGCUGCAGGUUCUUAUGGCUGAUUAUCCCUCUGUGAUAGUGUUUCAUGGUAACAAAGUGAUGCCUUCCUUUAAGGUGACUCCCAAAUGGUCUUCCUUUUGGCCUCCUUAUUCUAUGAUGCACUUGCUACUAGCAAUAAAGUUUGUCAUGGCGUUUGUAAUUCCUGAUAAACCAAGAGAGAUACAGAUAAAGCUGGCCAAAUUGGAAUUUGAAUCUCUAGAGGCUCUCAAACAGCAGAUUUAUGCAACUUUCUGAUCCCUAAUUGCUGGCGAAGUGGGCAACUGGUUGUUCCUCCCAGAGCUGGGACUUAAGAACAGCCAUACCAAUGUCAAGUGUAUCAACAGCAAAAUCUGUUCAAUACUACUUCAUUUGCUUUGAACUUUUUUAAUGUUUCUUUGGUAUUUAGUUUGUAGAUUAACGAGGGGCAGUCACAUUCACUCCAUGUUCUGGUUCUGUCAUUGACCUGCUGGCAGACUGCUACUGACAAAGAGUACGUGACUAUAAAAUUUAGUUUAUGGGGAUUAUUUGGUAUUAAAAUGGUCUUCUCUCCUUCCUGUUCUAAUCUGUCAUACUUUGUUCCAUUUUUUUUUUUUGUCUUAUUCUGACUGUUGUACUUUAUUCUGAAAGGGUGCUUGUGCUGACUCAUUUUGGUGUGUAGACUCUUAGUGUUCUCAGUUUUGCAUUUCUUUGUUGUACUUAAUGUUUAUAGCCUCCAUGGGAAAGACACCGUCAGGCUGUACGGCAGUGAGUUUCACGAACCUGAUGUAAUAAAUGCACUUUUUGCCUUGUUGCAGUUCACCCUGAACUCCAAUCAGCUGCUAGGCAUUUCUAGUCCCUGUAGAGUGAGUAUUUUGAAAACAUCCAUUUAUUUGCCACUAUGAGUGUUCAAUAGCUCUACACAUGGUGACAAUGGAAUUAAUCCAGGAAAAGAAAUGGUCUGAAAAAAGUCACUUAAGUACCCAUGCUAGCCUUGCUCUGCUAGGCAGUUUGUUUAUAUUGAUUUUAUUAGGAUACAAACAAAGAACUAAGGAAGAAAAGAAUCCAUUCUGAAUUGUUCACUCAUCAUAAUACUGAGUAUUUCAGUAACAUCUCCCAGCCUCUCAAAUGGAUUAAAUUGCAUUUACUUUACCCUCAUUAUACACACAUUUUGGUUAUAGCACUCAAAAUACUCAGCUCUGGAGGCCUUCGUUUCAAUGAGAACAGAAUGUUCUGGUUUGAAAAGAAAGCACAGUGAAAACAAAAGUGAGUGUUCAAACCUGAAAUUGAAAGUUGAGGGAGGUGGAGGAGUGACAGGAAAGGUGGCUGCAUAUGGCACCACCUGUAAGAUGUGCUUCAUUUGUUUUUUAAUUCUACACUGAUACCAAAAUCAAGCAAUUAGUGUCUUCACAGUAGAAAAAUCGAGUGAUUCCUGCCUCAUCUGCUGAAGUGUGUUAACUCUGAAUUCUCUUGUGUCUGUUUGAAGUGCAUCGCGUUUCCUAAUAUGCUGACUCCUUUGCACAGAUACUUGUCCUUAUCCAUGUGCAUAUGGAUGUGUACAUAACCUUUAUGCCCUUUACUGUUGUGUUUUGGUGAUACUGAAUCAGCCUGUCAGUGACAAUUUUGGUAGUAAUUGUGAUACUGAAUCAUUCUGAGGCUCUUUUAUUGGACUUUUAUUUAUUAUUUCAGGCUU